rnacentral:lncRNA from 1 species
AUGUUUACUUCCUCUCCUUGGUUUGACUCCUGUCUGUGGGGCUUCACAUAAUUCCUGCUUCUCCUAACCCGGUAGUGAAAGGGCCGCCCUACUCCUGCUUCUGCGAAAAUCCUUCUGGCCAGUACGUCAUCAUGAAGAGCACAGUCCAGCAGAACAGUAAUGAUAAAUGUUAGCGUCAUUCUCAUGAGAUUAUUUUUAUUUUUUAGGAGCUCUCAUUCCACAAGUUUCUUCUCCUAUAUCAAAUUUCCACUUACUAAAUAUUAUUCUCAAUAAGAGUUAAUGAUAUAAAAAUUUAUCAAUUUCAUGUUGAUUUUUACUAAAGGAUACAAAUUACAUAUAAAUGGAAUUUUUAGUAAGUAAAGAUAAAUAUGUAUAGGAACAAAAUUAAAAUGUUAGCAGAUUUUUUAAGCAACUGGACAUUGGGUGAUUAUUGUUUUCUAAGUUUCCCAGUGGGAAAAAUAAGCAUGUGUAACUUUAUAAUGGAAAAAUAAGACACUAUUUAUAUAUUUAUUCAAUUAAAAUAAUCCUGAGGAUUCUCUAUUCUAGGCAAAAACUGUGAUUAGAAGGAACAAGUCAUUAUAACUGUUUCAUUUUGCUCAGGAUAUUUACAGAAAUUCUUUCCUAGAUGAAGCUUUCAGCAUUUCCUCAAAGGAAUUAUCAGAGCUUCUUAAAAUGAAGUAGUAAGCAACUUGAUGAGAUCUCUAUUUUAGAAAAAUAACUAAACAAAUUGAGGAUAGUCUUGUAAAUCUGGAGGUGGGAAACCAAACCAAAUUAGGCCCUUUCCAGUAGUCUGGGGAGGGGAUGAGCUACCCUUGAGUUGAGACAGUGAAUUGGAGAGGAAGGAGCAGAUAUGGGAAGCAGACACUUCAAAGUAAACAUAUCCAAAAUUAAACUGCCUUUUAUAACUAGACUUCCCUCCCCCACCCAGCUAAUUCAGUUCUCCUCCCCUGUUUCUUCUGUGACCUGCCACUCGAUUGCCCAAGACAGAAACUUUGACUUCUUCAUCUCCUCAUCCUUAACUCCAGGCCCUCAUUAAGUCCUGUUGGUUCCUUUUCCUAAAUAUCUCUUAAAUAUAUUCAUUUCUCUCUAUCCCGUAGUUUAGACCACCAUCAUCUCCUGCUUGAAUUUUAAAGGAAUUUCAAACUGCUUUCCUUUGCUUUCUCUUCUGCUCUCUACCAGACUCCACCGUACCAUUCCAUCAGAGCAAUUUUCUAAAACUGAAAAUCUGAUCGUAUUAUUCCUUUACUUCAGUGGCUUCUUGGUGCUUUGAGGAAACAGUUCUAACUCUUUUAAGUGGUUUCCAGGGCUUAGCCAGACUUAAACCCCACCUACCUUUCUAGCCUGGUUUCUUACCACUCCCUUUCUCACUUUUCUCUAGCUUCUGACUUCUUGCAUACCUGUCCAGCUCUCCAACUGACUGUUACCCAAGAGUCUUGACACAUACUGUUCUACCUGUAUCACUCCCCUUUCUCAUCUUUCCCUAUACCUCUUUAGUUCCUUGAUAUCUCGAUCUAAACAUAACUGUGCAGUCGGCCUUCCUGAGCCCUUAGGUUAAAUCUUCAAGCAUCUUGGAUUGUCAUAUGAGGACACUAUCUAUUAUAUGUGUUGUCUGUGUUCCCUACUAGACUAUAAGCUGUGAAUAUGGUGAGAGGCUGUAGCUGUUUCCUUUACCAUUAUAUCCAGCUCAACUAGUACAGUGCUGUAAUAUUAGGUGCUCAAAUAAUUGAUGAGUUAGGCAAGGAAGUGAGAGAGGGAGAAACGAAGGGAGGGAGGGAGAAAAUGUUGGAAGGGAAAGAGGAAUGAAGGAGACAAGGAAUGGAAGGAAAGAAUAAAACUAAAAGUUUUGCAGGUAGGGACUGCAAAGAUCCUAAUGACGUUUUGCAGAAGGGAAAAAAUGAAGCCAUCAAAAAUCUUCUAGCAUUCUUUUAUUGAGCAGCUGAGUACUUGGCUGUGCUGUUAUAUGGGGGUUGAAAAGAGAAAAAAGUAGGUUUGGGUGGAAGGAUGAUAAGCAUCUGUUUCAGAAGUUCAGUUGACGGUUAAGAAUAGGGGAUAUCGAAUGAAGCUUAGAAAAGAAGUGUGAGCUGUCUGUGAUGACUGAGGUCAUGGGAGAGAGAGCAUAUGGAACAAGACAGCCAAGGUUGGGGUUCUGGAGACUCCAGCAUUUAAAGAGACACAGCAAAAGAGCUCCUUAGUGGCAGCUGGGACUCCACAUCUCAAACUACAUUUAUGGGACUUGUGACUCCUAAAUCGUGCCUUGCUCAGGAGGAAUUUAAAUAGGCAUGGCUAUUUAAUAACUUUAGAGGUGGGAAGGGAGGAGGAACUCCCUGAUAGCACAUUUUCAUGACAUUUCUUCCAGGAAAUCCUUUGUAUUUCUGACAUUGUAAUGCAUUUGUGAUGUCUGCUUUUCCUAGGAUUGCUGAAUUUAACAGAACUAAUAUAUUAACACAGACAUUUUACUCAUCUGAAUUUGUCUAUUUAAAAAUUUAUAUUUAUGGUCACAUGCCAUUUAAAGUUUACAUACCAGUUGUAAUUUACAUACAGAUGUGCAAAUGUUAUUUUCCUCCUCUGUGCUUCUGUGCUAGGCUUGAAACUAUUUUGGGUGAAAUCCAAUUAGGUACUGAAAAGAUUCCUAGAAGAUGAAAUGAUCCAUUGUUCUAACUUAAGUGAAUUUGUCAAUUUGACAUUCAGCUCCGAUAACCUUAAAUCUUUUGUAGGCGAAAUAAAUCACUUUUAAAAUUUAUCCCACUUUAUCUAUCUAUCUAUCUAUCUAUCUAUCUAUCUAUCUAUCUAUUUAUUUAUUUAUUUAUUUUUACAGGUGGAGUCUUGCUCCAUCACCAGGCUGUAAUGUAGUGGUGUGAUCAUAGCUCACUGCAGCCUCAAAUUCCUAGGUUCAAGAGAUCCUUCCACCUCAGCCUCCCAAGUAGCUAGGACUACAGGCAUGUGCCACCAUGCCUGGCUAAUUUUUUGUUUGUUUGUUUGUUUGUUUUUUGUUUUUAUAGAGAUGAGGCCUCACUGUGUUGCCCAGGCUGAUCUGGAACUCCUGGGCUCAAGUGAUCCUCCCACUUAAGCCACCCAAAUCUCUGGGAUUACUGGUGUGAGUCAUGCGCCUGGCCCGUUCUUCUUUUAUAAGUCCAUAAUUUCAGCAUCCUUAUUAACAUGGUCAUCAUUUAUAUUUUACCAGAAUCCUCACUCCUUUUCCAGUACUUUCCAAACGCCCUAUAUUCGUUUAUUCACUUGACAAAUAUUUAUUGAACGCACUCUCAGGCACUGUGCUGAGCUCUGGGGAUAUAGUGAUAAGCAAAACAGAUGUGGUUUCUACCCCCUGUGGCGCUCAAUAAAUACCAUUUCAAUUGAUUUGAAUUUCUAUCCUUGAUGCUUGUAGAAUGCUUUUCUUCACAAGAUGUUUGCGUAUGUAGUAAAAAUACCAGUAAAAAUACCUGCUUCCCUAUUGGGCUUCUGCUAUUGUUGCUGUAUACCAUGCAUUGCCCCAGUCUACCUAAUUAUUUCUUUAGGAUGGACCUAGAAGUGAGAAAGGAGAUAACUUAAGGCCCAGAUUACCAAAAUCAAUUUCAAACUGAAAGAAAGAUAUUCCAUAAUGCAGGGACUAUAAUUAUGAGCAUCAGAAUCAUAUAGACCUGGAUGUGAGUCCUGGUUUCCUGUAUGUGACUGUGUGCACAAUGCUUACCUCUGAGCCUUGGUUUCUUGAUUUGUGAGGUUGAAAUAAUUUUAAUGCCUACCUCAUGGGACUGUUGUGAUGAUGAAAUGAAAUAACCCAUGAAAAUACUUACCCUACAGCCUGGCACAGUAUGGGUUAAGUGUCCCUUAUCUGAAAUGCUUGGGACCAGAAGCAUUUCACAUUUUAGAAUAUUUGUGUAUACAUACCAGUUGAGCAUCCCUAAUCUAAAAAUCCAAAAUCUGAAGUGCUCCAAUGAGCAUUUCUGUUGAGCAUGACCUUUGCACAUCUUGUUGGUGCUCAAAAAGUUUCAGAAUUUGCAGCAUUUUGGGUUUCAGAUUUUUGGAUUAGGGAUGCUCAACCCAUAUAAGAAUCAGUAAGAGUUAUUUUUGCUAGCAUGUAUGAUAUGAAGUCAGCUUUUAAACUAUAACUCUUUCCACACAACCUGCUUGUUAAAAGAUUUACACCCCAUUAAUUAUAUUUCACUUCUAAGUGAAAACUUUGAAAUAGGGAAAUAGCUUGGGGGUGGAUUCCAUUUUUAACAAUCUGUCUUCUACAAAAGGAUAGCAACUCUCAGCAGCAGUAAGUGGUAAGGAAAUGAGGGCAUUUCUAGGAAGAGCACAUAUAGUUGAGUUUUAUUAAUACACCUUGGUUUUAAGUUUAGGUUUCCAAGGUUUUAAAGGACUGGAAAAUGGGAUAAAAGGAGAAGAAAUGAGUGUUUGAUUCAAAUAGAAAAAAUACAGUAUUAUAUUUACCUUUCUGUAACUGAAAAUCAUAAUUCUGAAGAACUGAUUAGAAAAACCAUUGUUUUAUACUUACUUGAUCACCUUUGAUGACAUUCUUCAAAUCUGAAAUAGUUAAUACUAUAGGCAUCUGCUGUGAUGCCUAGACUUCAGUGUAAAUUUACAGAACAGAAAAGUCAAUAUGUAGGAGGCUAAUUUAUGGAUUUCCUUUCAAAUAAGAAUGGCUUAGAACUAGUACGUUUAGAAAUAAAUUUUUUAAACCCUUAUGUCAUAGGAGAUAUUCCAUAUAUGUUUGCCAGUUUGGUUUUCAUGAACAAUAAACUAAAACAGUAACAAGGUGAGAAAGCAGGUUUUGGUAAAAGAUUCUUCUGAUUUGGCAUAAGCUUAUCUCCAGAAAAUAGCCUCUUUUUGUUUAAUGUUUUCUGUGUAAUUACAGGGUGUAGGAAAAAACAAGAUUGUUGACAGAUUCCUUCACCUGCUCAACAGACCCCGAGAAUAUAUUCAGCUACACAGGUAAGACUAUUAGACCCACAACCUCUUAAAAAUCUCAUUUAAUCAUUUGUUUCCCUCCUGGUACAAUUUAAAAAUACUUUCUUAGAGGCCCAUUUUAUAAACCAGUUUUAUUUCUGUUCUUCUUGCUCUUAUCUCUUCUCUCCUUUAAAGGUAAUAAAACCAUGCAAAAUUUAUUUUUAAAGUGGCUAAUGCUUUAUAAACAUGAAUUAAUAGAUAUUCUGUGGACAGAGAGUGAUGAACAUUACAUUCUAGGAACAGAUCUCAUCAACAUAAAGGCUCUUAAGUUAGAAGAAAAACAUGUAGGAUCUAAGCCUAUUCUCUCACAAGCAGCUAAAAUAGCUCACAAGGAGAAAUAAUAAACUAUAUGAAUCUCAGGUAUGAGAUAAGGAACCCAGAAAUCUGGUAGAAGCAUGUUAUUAUUUGUCUCCUUGCCUUCCUUAAAGUUACUUUUUAGAUAAUUUUGUAUGGUUAGAAUGCUGGUUCAGCUUUUAAUCAAAUAGUUUUUCUCAAUAUGGGUCAUUUUUAGCUUUAUGAGUGAACCCGUUCUAAUUUUUAGAAAAUAAAAUAUAAAUGAUAGAUCCACCAAAAACAAAAUAGAUAAGUCAAGAAAUAUAUCAAGUAAUGAACAACUUAAAGCUAACUUAGAUUGUUAUUGUUUUAAUCCUAGGAAGUAAAAAAUAUAUAGUAUAAUAGAGCAUUGAAUUGAGUUAUAAGAGUUAGUUUCUGGUCUGGGUCUUUUCACUAAGUGAUCAGUUCUUGAGAGAGAAUUAUAAGAGAAUAAAGGGCAGAGUUAGUGGGUCAAAGGAGAAAGAGGAAAGGACUCAGGGAAAGCUGAGAUAUGGUGAAAAACUGCCUUUUGGGAUUUAUACCUCUGCCCAUGACAGGGUAGUGGUACCAGAUUAGCCCUACCACAAUAAAAACUAUAAAACUGAACAAAAUUCACAAACACUAGGAAAAGAAAAACUACUAGGGAUCUUUGAGCUGAACAACUACCAGAGUUCCUUCAUUAAAUAACCCUGGUAUUCAGAAGGGUAUUUAUCUGAGGGCUCUGUUCUGUUCCAUUGGUCUAUAUCUCUGUUUUGGUACCAGUACCAUCAGAAGGCAAGAAAUAACUAAGAUCAGAGCAGAACUGAAGGAGAUAGAGACACAAAAAAACCCUUCAAAAAAUCAGUGGAUCUAGGAGCUAGUUUUUUGAAAAGAUCAACAAAAUUGAUAGACCGCUAGCAAGACUAAUAAAGAAGAAAAGAGAGAAGAAUCAAAUAGACGCAAUAAAAAAUGAUAAAGGGGAUAUCGCCACCAAUCCCACAGAAAUGCAAACUACCAUCAGAGAAUACUAUAAACACCUCUACGCAAAUAAACUAGAAAAUCUAGAAGAAAUGGAUAAAUUCCUCGACACAUACACCCUCCCAAGACUAAGCCAGGAAAAAGUUGAAUCUCUGAAUAGACCAAUAACAGGAUCUGAAAUUGAGGCAAUAAUUAAUAGCUUACCAACCAAAAAAAGUUCAGGACCAGAUGGAUUCACAGCCAAAUUCUACCAGAGGUACAAGGAGGAGCUGGUACCAUUCCUUCUGAAAUGAUUCCAAUCAAUAGAAAAAGAGGGAAUCCUCCCUAAUUCAUUUUAUGAGGCCAGCAUCAUCCUGAUACCAAAGCCUGGCAGAGACACAACAAAAACAGAGAAUUUUAGACCAAUAUCCCUGAUGAACAUUGAUGCAAAAAUCCUCAAUAAAAUACUGGCAAACCGAAUCCAGCAGCACAUCAAAAAGCUUAUCCACCAUGAUCAAGUGGGCUUCACCCCUGGAAUGCAAGGCUGGUUCAACAUACACAAAUCAAUAAACGUAAUCCAGCAUAUAAACAGAACCAAAAACAAAAAUCACAUGAUUAUCUCAAUAGAUGCAGAAAAGGCCUUUGACAAAAUUCAACAACCCUUCAUGCUAAAAACUCUCAAUAAAUUAGGUAUUGAUGGGACGUAUCUCAAAAUAAUGAGAGCUAUUUAUGACAAACCCGCAUAAGUAUUUUGUUUUGGUGUAGUUUUGAAGAUGUUUUGGGUAAUCUUAAAUAAAUUGCAGUGAUACCUAAACUCAGAUGAGAAAACGGGACAAUGAGGUCCAAGAUUAUAAUGUGAUUGAUACUAGAACAGAAAAAUGCAUGCGGAUGCUGAACUUGCUCUGCAGCGAUAGCCGUCUUCAGUUCAACCCAGUUUCCUGAAAGUGUUGGCUCAGGACAACAGCUCCUUGCUGGCAGAUCACGAGGUCAGGAGAUUGACACCAUCCUGGCUAACACAGUGAAACCCCGUCUCUACUAAAAAACACAAAAAAUUAGCCGGGCAUGGUGGCAGGUGCCUGUAGUCCCAGCAACUCGGGAGGCUGAGGCAGGAGAAUGACAUGAACCUGGGAGGCGGAGCUUGCAGUGAGCUGAGAUUGUGCCACUGCACUCCAGCCUGGGCGACAGAGCAAGACUCUGUCUCAAAAAAAAAAAAAAACAAAAAAAACAAAAAAAACAAAAAAAAAAACAAAAAAACAAUGAUACUGGAAGAUAGGCUGGGGUUGAAAUGAAUUGUUUAACUCCUGUUGCUAAAAAUGCAGAAUAUAUUGUUUUUCCUAUGAUGCAAUUGUGUCUUCCUUUACGAAUAUCUAUCAUAAAGACUCAAUAAAAUAGGUAAAUGGUAGAAAACUUAAACACUGAUUUUCUUUAAGGUAAGAGUUUUCCAAACAUAGUGCUUAUUUGUAUACUAUUUUUUGUUUGACCUGGGUGGUUAAAGUCUGAUAAACAUAAAGCUAGAGCAUUGGGAAUUUUUUCUGUUUGAUGAACAACCAAAAUGAGAAUAAAAUAAUUCAUGGAUUAGAGUAUAUCAAAUAAUAUUAUGCUAUAUACAAAAUGCA